ACACUUCAAUUUAUAUCAUGUUUAGAUAAAAGUAGAGUGUGGGAUCCCUUUAAAACGGCUUUCUAGCAGGGGACAGUAAGCCCAGCAGUCAUUACUGAUUAAAAACCUCAUUAAGGACAGAAUUCCAAUUUUGUAUCUUUCAUCAUGUCUGUGCAGUCAUGUUUAUCUUGGAACAAAUAGAUGGGACCAUUCUGCUGUAAAAUAUCUUUAAGCAACCUUUCACCUCCUGUCAUUUUUGGAUUGACCAGGAAGCACAUUUAUUGAAAUGAUGCUUUGGAUUUAGAUAAUGACUUUCAUCCCACUGCCCUAAAGAACAUUAUUCGAAUUGCCAAGGGUUUAUUUAUACCUAUUUUGUGAAAUCAAGGAAGACUUUCAUCAGUUGAUGAGACAUCCUGGAAAAUGGGGUCCUUCAGAACCACGUAGGAGUGGGGAACCUUGCUCCUUUAGCUCCCCUGGCUAAGCAAACGGAUAGAAAUUGGGAAAGAUUUUAAUUGCUCCACUAAAACCUCCAUUUUGAUUUAAGUCCUGGUUAAGGAGAACAUUAAGCAAGCUUGCUGAUACCAAAGUUAUAGAAGGUGUGAGACAUUGCUGCCAUUUUCUCACCCCCCGUGUUUCUUCUCCCCAUCCUCACCUGCUUGACCUCCGAGAGUGUUGACAUGCUGGGAGCACUCCACAGGCCAGCUCCUCAGCUCUUCUCAGGGAUGGCAUUGCUCCUGGCAGGACACCAGCUCCUCCUCCUCCUUGGGCUGGAUGCUGCCUCCACAACUGCCCAGAGAGCUCUCACUCUUCCACAGCCAAGAUCUCCUCAUGCAGACCUACCAGAUUUUGUGCAUCUGAUGUAUUUCAGGAUACAGAAAAAUGGUGCCAUCACUUAAUGGACCAUCCUCAGCUUAGCUCCCACCACUCUCUCUGCUGAGGGAGCAUCUUUCAAAUCAAAGUAACUUCUCACAUGGAAUGAGCUUUUCAUAAAUUAAUUGUCUCCAUCCCUUUUGUGAAAUAAGUUAAACUGGGACCAACAAGCGCAUACUGUCAGCUUUAGCUUUAGGCAUCUUCACGUUUAGAUCAUUUCUAAUAGCAAAGGAUAUCUCAGAACAUGUGGCUAUUUAUACCUUUCAAAUCAAAUCAGCUCCUAACAAAAAACCUUAGUCACAGAUGACGCUUCAUCUUGUACCAUUUAACUAGGAAGACAGGCAAGAAUGAUACCAUUGUCCAUUUUCAUAUCAAUUGGCAGAAAUUACCUUUAUUAGAAAAAUGAUUUUUUUCAUAUAUUUACAAUUUUUACAUCGUGUUAUACUUGGCACGUGUGUUUUCCCCAAAUAUAUACAUUUCAGUAUGCCAGACAUUCGAGUCCCCCAUUCCCUUAACGUUUUUCUACAUAUUUAACAAAAAAAAUUAACACAAUACGAUUUGUAAGACAACCAUAAUAAUUAUAUAUUUCUCUAUCAUAAAAAGUUUGAAGCAAACAUUUGUUUUAGAUAUGUUUAAAAUAUUUAUACAGUAUUAGCACUCAGUCAUGCACUGUGUUGGGGUGAACUGCUGUGAGGUGGUGUAUGCAUACCACGGGGAGAAGAGCAGGAACAUCCCAGCUCCUUCAAGCUGCAAUGUGUGCUAUGAGUAGAUCCCAAUGCCACCAGGAUGCCAGAGGCAGGGACAGAGGGGUGCAGGGGUAGCAGGAUAUAUGUGUAUCUCUAACACGGCAGUUAACACCGUGUGUGUACAGAAAUGUGUAUUAAAAUUCAUUUCAGUAUGCUAAUCCUACCUAAUAAACCAGGCAGUAACUGGGAUGUCAAAACUAGCUUGUAAUUGUUCUAUUGUUCCCUAAACCCUUCAUUUUGAAGAAUCCAUUAGACUAUGAAUACCUUAAAAAUUAUUUUAUGCUUCUUUCCAUUUCACCAGUGUUCUUUUAUUUCUACUCUAACAACCCGAUUUAUUUCCCCAAGUGUUAAGAGGUCUUCAAACCUUUGCUGUUCUUUGCUAACUAACUAAAUUUAUGACUUACCUUUUGGUUUUAAAUAUUAUACUCUUAAGAGAGUCAUGAUAAAUUGCACAAGCAAAUAACAGAAGUUUGGCUUUUUAAUUUACUGUGUAUGGAAUCAAACGAUUCCAAGAUUUGUGGCAAGAUGUUAUUUACAGAAUGCAAAUUUCUUCUACUGCAACGUAUAUCAGUGCUAUAGUAAGCAGCUCAGAUUAGUACACCUGGAGGUUUUUCUCCCAUCAGAACAAGAAUACUUUUCCAACUACUAUAACUGAGUUUCUUGCUGAGAAAAAUCCUAAGUUAAUAUCGUGAAUUCUUAAUUUAUCAAGAUAAAAAUUAAACUAACCUGGUCUUAGGACGAUGGCUGAAGAUCCAGUACUGAUUUCCAGUUACAUCUUGGUUUUGAGAGUUCAACUGCAAAUAAUGUCUAAUCAAACUCAAAAUAGCAAUGUAUUACUUGAAACUGUUAGAAUAUGGGUCACAAUGAUGAAUUUUCAUCUUGCCCAUCAUUCACCCCCAAAACUUUAUACAUAUACAUAUAUAUAAAGCUUGUAUAUAGCUUAUUAUAUACAUGUAUGUAUACAAAGACUCAUCAGGACAACACAUUAAAUUCACAUAAUUCAAGUAAACAGGUUAAAAUGUUUUUAAAAGUGUAAUUUGAGAUUUUAAAAUACUUCUGGUGGUGUUUUUUUUAGCAGCACAGAAAUAUCAGUGGUUUCAUCUAAGCCAGCAAAAAUAGUUACACAGGAUGAAAGGAAGCACAAAAUGCUCUUCAGGAUCAGUGUAAAUCUGAAUCCAAUGAAUUAAAAUUAAUAUUAUUAACUCACAGGGAAGACACAAGAUACACUGGGCAUGUGCAUGUGGGAGUGAGGUGUGAAGACAGAAAAAUCAAGCUGUUCUUCACCACUGCAAAGUGGACGUUCUGAAAUGAUGAACAAGAAAGGUUCCCUUCCACAGCAGCAUGGGGAGGCCCAGCAGACUUGAGAGGGCCUUUGACUGCAUUAACUGAGUCCAAAUUUGUAACGUGAAACAGAAGCCAAAAUAUAUUUCCAAAAGGUAAAGAACUAAACGAAAGGAGUAAAAAGUGUCAUUUAAGAGCAAACCAACAAAAACCUGGUAAAUAGUGAGGGCAUUGUUUUGUGACCAACUAUGCUGAUAUAUUUCUUCAGGAAGAGAUAAGUUUGUUGUAUCCUGCAGCAUCUGAUCUUCUUCAAUAUCAUAGAGGUUCCCCAUCCGCAAGCACGCAUCACAUUUAUAAGGAGAUCUGCUUGAAUAAUGUCCUGCAUAAGUGGGCAAAUUGGAAAGACAGCUCCUGCAAUUCCAUAUGGCAAGUAGCUCGGCUUGAUGUCUCUGAUACGUCUGAAUGGAUGAUCUCUUCUGGAAGGUAUCUUUGGCUUUUCACUGAAAGCUGCCUGUUUUCAUCUGACCCAUCUUCUCUCUGGGAGCCUUGGCUCUGACGUACAGAUUCUUGACGUAAAGAUUCAACAGAUUUCCUCCAAAGCUGCCUAGGUCUGGAGUUUGCUUUUGCUUCCGUUGUUACUGCAACCUCUACUGUGUUUGGAUUGGAUUCGUUCAGUGUGAGAGGAUGCUGACCUUGGAAAACAUAGUUGUUAAGAUUAUCCUUGUGUCGAUUGCCAGGAAGUGUCUGCAGUUCACUUAUAUUGUCACCAAAAAAGUUGUCCUUUGUCUGAAAGGGUCUGUUAUCAGAAAAUAUCAAGUUUCCCUUAUCCAUGACCAUGUCCAUAAUCAAGGAACCCCUCUGAAUAAAAUCAGCUGUUCUUUUGGGGGAGUUAAUUCUUGAAGGGUUCAUAUUGGUCAUAUUUUUUGCUGUUCGCAGUAGUUUUAACAUGUUGGUUUGGGAAUUAGUCAAAGAAAAGUCAGGAGACUUCUUCUUUUCUUCAAUGUGUACUCCAUGAAUGCAGCUGUAAAUACCCUGUAAUAUGAGUAAUUCAAAACAAAUAUUAUCACUAGGUGUACAUUUUAAACACUUCCAUUCUAUUUUUA